rnacentral:RNase_P_RNA from 1 species
CGAGCCGGGCGGACGGCCGCGUGGAGUCCCUCACGGGACUUCCCGAGGAACGUCCGGGCUCCACAGGGCAAGGUGAUGGCUAACGGCCACCCGGGGUGACCCGCGGGACAGUGCCACAGAAAACAGACCGCCGGGGACCUCGGUCCUCGGUAAGGGUGAAACGGUGGUGUAAGAGACCACCAGUGCCCAGGGUGACCUGGGCAGCUAGGUAAACCCCACCUGGAGCAAGGUCAAAAGGAAACACCCUGGUGUUUCUGCGUGGACGUCCGAGGGCUGCCCGCCCGAGUCCACGGGUAGACCGCACGAGGCCGGCGGCAACGCCGGCCCUAGAUGGAUGGCCGUCUCCCCGGCCGCCGCGAGGCAGCCGGGCGACAGAACCCGGCGUACAGCCCGACUCGUCUG